rnacentral:lncRNA from 1 species
CAAAUUAUAAUCUUAUUUAUAAAGUUCUAGAUAGGCACCAUCUUGUUCUCUGUUUUUACAGUGUUCAUAGAAUCAUAGAAUGGUUUGGAUUGGAAGAGACCUUUAAGACCAUCUGGUUCCAACCCCCCUGCUAUAGGCAGGGACACCUCCCACUAGAACAGGUUGCUUAAAGCCCCAUCCAGCCUGGCCUUGAAAUCCUCCUAAGUGAUGCUUACAAUGGAAUCAUAACUAAUGACAGAAGUUGCAGUUGUUGCCAUCAAGGAUGUGGCAAGAGAUCUUCCUCUGAAUAUAGAGCUUCAGGAAAGCUGUUCUCCAAAACAAAAUCAAGGUUGGAACAUUUAAGUGAAUUCGUUUCCAUGAGAACAGAUUGCUGAAGAAAUCAUUCAGCUUACAUUUUAUCAGACUGCUGAAUGAACUCUGGAUUUUUUUUGCAGUUCUAGGAGACCUUGUUGCUGUUGACACUGAAGCCGAGGCAAAAGAGAAUGCUGGGAAGAAGGAUACAAGCAGCUGCUCUGGAAGGAAAGAGCAGAUCCAGAGCUUUGGCAGAGCCCUAACCUACUGCACCAUGUUUGGCCCUAGUGCUGAGGCCUUUUCCUUUGGGCAGCGCUAUGCAAUCACUGGCACUUGCCCAGAGGCUGAGGAGAAGCAGGACUUGAUGUUGUUUCUCCUUUUUUUUUUUUUUUUUCUUUUUUUCCUGCAGUUCCUUGGCAGUGAAAAAAGUCUGUGUGGACCCACCACUUGGGG